rnacentral:rRNA from 1 species
UACGUAGGUGGCAAGCGUUGUCCGGAUUUACUGGGCGUAAAGGAUGCGUAGGCGGACAUUUAAGUCAGAUGUGAAAUACCCGAGCUUAACUUGGGUGCUGCAUUUGAAACUGGGCGUCUAGAGUGCAGGAGAGGUAAGUGGAAUUCCUAGUGUAGCGGUGAAAUGCGUAGAGAUUAGGAAGAACACCAGUGGCGAAGGCGACUUACUGGACUGUAACUGACGCUGAGGCAUGAAAGCGUGGGGAGCAAACAGG